UACAGAGGUCUCAACCGUUGUUCGGAUUCAUUGGGCGUAAAGGGUGCGUAGGCGGUCGUGCAAGUCGGAUGUGAAAUCUCAGGGCUCAACCCUGAAACUGCAUUCGAUACUGCGCGGCUAGAGUGCUGGAGGGGAGACUGGAAUUUACGGUGUAGCAGUGAAAUGCGUAGAUAUCGUAAGGAAGACCAGUGGCGAAAGCGGCUACCUGGCCCAUUCUUGACGCUGAGGCGCGAAAGCUAGGGGAGCAAACGGG
rnacentral:rRNA from 1 species